GACGAACGCUGGCGGCGUGCCUAACACAUGCAAGUCAACUUGACUGAAGGAGCAAUCUGACAGUAGAGUGGCGCAAGGGUGCGUAACGCGUAAGUAACUUGCCCCAAGGUAAGGAAUAACGUCGAGAAAUCGGCGCUAAUACCUCAUAAUGCAGCGGAUCCGCAUGGAUAUGUUGUUAAAGGUUUGCCGCCUUGGGAUAGGCUUGCGUCUGAUUAGUUAGUUGGUGUGGUAACGGCACACCAAGGCUACGAUCAGUAACUGGUCUGAGAGGAUGAUCAGUCACACUGGAACUGAGACACGGUCCAGACUCCUACGGGAGGCAGCAGUGAGGAAUAUUGGGCAAUGCUCGAAAGAGUGACCCAGCAACGCCGCGUGGAGGAUGAAGGUAUUCUAUAUCGUAAACUCCUGUGAGAGCAGACGAAAGACAGAUUAUAAUCUGGAUGACUGUAUGCUCAGAGGAAGCCCCGGCUAAC
rnacentral:rRNA from 1 species